rnacentral:lncRNA from 1 species
UCGUUCUUCAGCUCCAGGCAGAUCUUGCCGCCAUUCGCCUGGUCCUUGCUCCAGUUCAGGGGGGUAGCCUUAACGGUCUGCUCGUCCACAGCGCCCCAGGUGGCGGACAGCCACUUGCCGGUGCCGGUCUUGGGCUGCACGUACACGCCGGUGAUGGCGCGGCGCUUCUUGUCGUCGGCGUAGAACUCGGCCUUGAGCAGGCUGGUGCUCCGGCCGCAGGGGCUGGUGGCGCUGUUGGGGGUCACCAGGGUGAUGCUGAAGCAGUAAGCAGUGGUGUCCUUGGUGCGGCCGGCCAUGCUCGACAUCGCGGGCGCAAUGGCGAAGGGGGUGGCGCCGGGAGUGGUGACGCACUGGCACUUGGGGAAGUCGGGGGUCUGCAGGGCGCAGGCGGCCGAGGCCUGGGCGUUGAUGCACGACUGGGGCAGGCCGGCGACGGCGUCGCCCAUGCCGCCAACAGAGACGACCACGGUGUAUCCGGCCAGGGCGGGGCGGCAGCCCUGAGUCACCAUGUCCAGCCAGAAGUUGAUCUGGGUGUCAACGAAGCUCUGCAGCUUGGCGCCCUCCUCGUUGGAGAAGAAGGUGGCGCACACCAUCACCAGGUUGCCGGCGCAGCUGGUGGACCCAGGGGUCACGGUCACGCCGAGGUCGGAGGCCUGGGUGGCCACGUCGUCCUGAAUGGUGGCGAUGUAGCCCUGGCACUCGUCGUUGCUGAUGGAGUAGGGGAACAGAACGCGGCUGGCGUCGCUAACGGUCAGCGAGAUGUAGACGCAAACCUGGCAAGGAGGAGGGGGGCUGGGGGGAGGAGGGCUCGGGAUGCCGGGCGUGGAGAUAGGGCAGCAGUCGUUCUGGCUGUCGAACAGCGCAGCCGAGCACACACCCUUGGGCAGGCCAGGGGGAGGAAUGCACAGCUCCUCAAGGGUGGUGCAGCCCUUGCCGUUCUUGUUCAUCGACAGGGUGAUGCAAAUCUCAGCACCGUCGCUGGCCAGGCCCAGGCCCAGCUGGGUCAGGACCAGGGUGGUCGAGCCAACGGGGCCAUCGGUGGGCUCGUGGAACGAGACACCGACCUUGGUGGGCACGCCGUUGAUGGUGGCCUUCACCACCUCGCCGAAGACGUCGCACGCCUCGUAGACGUUGAACUGUGUACAUCAAAAUGAGGAACAAACUCAGAGAACUUCUUGAAAAAAGAACUCACACUGUGGGUUGCUGGCUGCUGCGACUUUGAAACCGCGACCCGAUGCGCCGACAACCCACCUCGAUCUUCUUGAGGUCUGCCUUGGAGCAGCAGUAAUCGGUGCAGCCAGCCGGCACCUUGGCGCUCAGCUUGAAGCAGUACUGGUUGUUGCCCUUGGCAACGACAACAUCACCCAGCUUGUAGGCCGAGGGAGACUUCUUGCACUGGCAGUAAGGGAACGAGGUGUACAAGCCCGACUGAGCACCCUGGGCGGCCCUGCAGAUUCAGAACGAAGGGCACACGCGGCACGGAGUUACUGCCAGCGGAGCAAGCGGAGUCUCGGCGACGGGAUAGCCUGCUUGCAACUUGCUGUCAAAUCCGGUGGUGGCGCUACGAUCACUGUUACGCUAUGCUGAAAUCAUGAAAAUAGCCCGAGCAUGCUGUAAGAGCGCCGGUUGCAAGAAGGCCGACCGCAUUCAAGCUGCGCAGCGGACCCACACGACCACUAUUUACGCCGUGAGCGUAAAUGAUUAUCUUUGACUAGAGUCAGCGAUGCUCGUCUAUUCUACAACUCAGGAGCUUCCCGAAGCGACAAAUCUGUGAAACGCGCGGUCUUGCUACUCACGCAAUUGCGGCCGCGAAAAGAACGGAGACUAGAAUGCUGCACCUCAUUGUCACAGAGGUGGUUCAGCUAUAAAGAAAUUGUGAGGCACGCGGGCUUAUCAUGGGGGGCCCGGCUGGUCGAACGAGUCGUACGCCCGCCAUUAACCGCGGGCGCGUUAGUUUGGCGUGCGAUGCAAUCAUUCAUGCAACCGCGCCACUUCGACAGUGCCGGAAACAACUUUUAUUUUUGUGGGUAUGCAUCCGGCUAUUCGGUAGGACAGCAGCUGCGUUACGCUCAAACUCGGGCAAACAAUUGGGCUAGCGGCGUGAGCUUGCACCUCACAACUAUCAUCACACAAGUUAUUUAGAUACUGGCCUACCUUGGGCCAUCUCCAAAACUGCCUGUCCAGCCCGGGAGCGGCGGAGCUGUUUCGCCCGCGGUUUGGAGUGGCUUUACUCGUGCCGACGCAAGUCCUUGAUUUUUGCAUUAUAAAAAAAUUAUAGAGUACAGCUAUAGCAACCAACUUGGCAAUGGAGCUGCUGGCAUGGUCCAAACGCGGGAAGCUGGCGCCUUCUAGGCUCUUUGGAGCCCUGUCGGCUUCACAAGUGGCUGAUGCUCAAGUUGUGCAUCGCUUUGGCCGGACAAAUGUCUCCUAGUAACCCGGUUCACAAGCGAAGCGUGAAACGAAAGCAAAGGAUGCUGCGCGCCGGAAGCGAAACGUUCGAUGCACCUAAUUGGGCGCCAAGCGCGGAACCUUGCAGUCUCAGAUGCGUGUGUGCAUGGAAGGAGAAGGCUGGCGGAGGCGAGAGGAGCGGGGGCAGGGAUUGGCUUUCGUGGGGGGGGCGGGGCAAGUGGCGCGGGCGGGGCUGGGGGGGCGAAGAACGGUGAAGACCGGUGCGAUGGCACAGGGUAAGGGGCAGGUUGGCGUAGUCCCGAGUCCCGAGAAACAACUUACGCCCAACCCAGGCGCCAAUGAAACAGGUGAAGAGCUUGAGGACCCCCCUCCCGCUGUCCGGGCCUUACACACAAGCAGGCCAAGUGCGGGGGGAGCCGUAGCGCACACCAUAUACCGUACUGUCACUGUGCUCGAUUUCGUCGCUAGUGACGCCCCUGCUGGCUAGGGUAGCAAGGGUAAUGGGGGUGAACGAGCCGGUUGCUUAGGCUGUGCCAGCUUUCCCCGGGUUUCAUUGGGGUCACACACUUCACUGAUGCACAACUUUCAGAGCCAGGGGGCUGCAUCCUCCGGCAAGCAGACGCCAGGAGGGUGUCCCUGGCCGCAUGCGCUGGGUCCUGGAGUCUACGGUACGCGUUGCCGCACGCGUCGGUUGGCCAUCCAUUCCCCAUCCUUAGACACAAUGACUGUGUCAUGUGUGCACGUUGCGCUUUAGGCUCGGCCAGCGGCACCCUGGGUUGGGUGUGUGAUGGGUUGGGUCUCGGUUUGAGAGGUGUGACCCUUGCAGAAAGCAGGACUCUCCACACUCCCCUCCCGUGCUGUGCAUGUAUGUUCCUGCAUGCACGUGUGUGUAUGAAGUGAAUGGCUCAGCCAACGGCUGUGUGUGCAUGUGGCCCGCGUAAAAUGCAAUUUACCAGUGAUGGGCACUUCUAUCAGGGAGGGGUAGGAAACAAAGUGCCAGACCCCAUGCCCCGAAAUCCCCCGGGACCCCCCUUGAGGGGACGACCGACCCCCCGACGGACAAAACCUUGUUGUUCAGCGGUUAAAACCCCUCCAUUUAAUACCAAAGUAGUGUCAAUCGACUCCUCUUGACGAGCACUAUCACUCCGUGCCAUCAGCGGUCCUGUUCUGAGACUUCGGUCACGGGCGGGAUCCUAUCCAUGGAAAUCCCCUCGACCCAGACCACCCCGCGCUCAACUCUUUGCCGCGUGACGAAUGGACAAUGUGCAUCGGCAGCCUUGUUAGACGUGAACUCAUGCGCAUCAGCGCUUCAGAGCCCAGCUGUGUCAGUGCGCAUAUGUUGAAUGUGGAGACAUGUCCCGACAUGUCCACGUCCGGACGCGCAACUUAGCCCUCCCACGCUUUGUUUGUGCUUAUUACGUCAUAACGUACACAUAUGAGCCUCGCACUGCUGCGUUUGGCCCCUAGUUCUGCUUGUGGGGCGCUUCCCGAAAUCCGCCAGGAUGGGCUCCCGAAACCCGACGGACCCCCAGGGACGAGGACCGACCCCCAACUUUGGCGGCCCAGAACUUCCUCACCAGACCCCCCUUUAAAAAACUAAAAGUACGUGCAUAAUGCUCUCCUGAAGCUCUCUAAUAUUGAGCAUGGGGUAAGAACCUGAGCUUUCUAACCCCCCCCUGCCAUGGCGGCCACAAUGCCAAGAUGCUACCUGGCGGCGCCACGCACAGCAGAGCCCUGUGCUCCGCAAGGAUGCACACGUGCACACACGCACACACAUGUGCGAACACACGUGCACCUGCCCUCCAUGCCACUCGCCCCGCCCCUUCCCCCUUCCCUCACCUCAGUUAUGGCUGACUGGAUGCGGUUGAUCUCAAACAGCCGGCUGCGCCCCUCCUGGGAGCCGCCGCCGCCGCCGCCAGACAGGAGGUCUGGAGUGCGUGUGAGGAAGGGGAGGGGGGGGAUGUGCCCGAGCCCGAGGUCUCAAGCGUCAAGGAAUUGUUUCCAAACCAGGGGGAGGAAGCGGUAGGGGGGCGCGAAGUGUGAUGUUUGUCGGGGUAAGGUGUGAGGCAUUGGGCAUGGAGCGUAAGGCGGGCAUCAAGGCGGGUAGGGUGUCGGCCUGUGCGCUGUCACCCAAGCCACGGGCGCACCGUUAGCACGCACGCACGCGCACACGCUCACACUACGCACCUGCGGCCGCCUCCUGCCCCUUGCUGGUGGCGCCGCUCCCGCCGCCGCCCCCACCUGCACCCCCAGCAGCCGCCCCGCCCGGCACCGGAGCGCUCACCACCACCUGCGCCUCCGCCGCACCCUCCACCGCUGACUCUGCUCCUGCUCCCCCUCCUGCUGCGGAUGCUUCCGCUGGUAGCUGCACCACUGGCGUGUGCCGUGGAUGCGGUGGGUGCGGCGCCGCCAAGCCAGUCACCGCCGCCACCACCGGCGCCAGCGCCGCCGCCACGGCAGCCGCCGGCUCCCCUCCCGAAAUCCGCCAGACACCCCCUUAAAAAGUUAAAAGUACGUGCAUAAUGCUCUCCUAAAGCUCUGUAAUUUUGAGCAUGGGGUAAGAAACUGAGCUUUCUACCCCCCCCCUGCUUCUAUCAACCGGUUGUGCUUUCGGGGUUACAUGGAAGAGAUUAGGCUGGUGGGGCACAGUGGUGCACGGUGACAGAGACAGCCUUUCUUCCCUGUCUGGGUCAGGGGACAGGUUGUGCCGCCCUCGAGUCCGAAUCAAAUCGUUCUUUGCAGCAUCCCUCUUCAGGAUGCUGAGUGGAGUUGGUGUCGGUAGUAAAGGCCAAGCCCAACGCCCAUUGCGGCAGGGCCCAGGUGUGGGCGGAACGCCCGCCAAGAUGAGACACGAUGAGAGGCACGGCCGAUCGCGCCGAGUUAAGCCAUCACCACGCCCAGUGUUCCGGCCGGUUGUAACAGAUCAACUGUUACGAUCCCUGUUCGAGACAGGGCUGGGCCCUAACUUAUGCCUCUUACGAGUCUUCUAGUGAAUACGCGGUCACCCAAGUCUCAUCCGUUGGACAUCUCCAACCCCUUGCCAGGCUCUACAGUGAGUUAUGUCCGGGGUGGGCUAGGUACUGCUACCCCAGGGGAGAGCCUUCCCUGGCAGAGCCCAGGCCCUGCCGUAUUCCUUACCGGGUCGCACACCCACCGAAGUACCGAACCACGCGUCACGGUCUGGGAAUCAGCUGCACCCUACGGGACUUCACCAACCUGCCUUAACACUGUCCCAUACCACGCGUUACGUUUCUCCACGAUCCGCGGAACGGCGGAAACACGUAUUGACAUGUGUACACCCGCAAGGAGACCGCGGGUGGGUGAGAAUACUGCGCCUGCGCCUGAGAGCCCCGGGGCAAGCUGUCUCAUCCCCGAACGUAGAACUCAUAGAGUGCAGUCUGUGCAAAAGGGAAAGCGAGAUGCAAAGGACGAAGCAGGAGUCGUGUGACGCGUUAGCGUGGAUAAACGCCUGGCGGAUGAGAUCGGACAUGGCAACUUGGAAAUGGGCAGGUUGGUGUUAGUCCUGUGGACCUGAUAUACCCGAGCCGGUUGAGGGCCUCAUGUGCAAAACCGCCAGCGCCGGUCUGCUGGCCUUAUCUGGGUACACGCAGUACCGGUGCGGUAGCUGACGAUGCCAGCGUUAUUGACGAGUGUUGCGGAACUAAUGCGUACGUAGACCAGAGCGGAAGGCGGAGUGGGCUUGCAGGCGGCACGAGAGUAGGCAGUCAGUAGCGCAAGUUGCGAAUUCACAUGUUACCUCGUAACCGACGGUAAACGCUGCGGACGGUCGCGCCCAUGGCUGGCUGACGGAAGGUGGCUGCUGUAUUGGGAUGGCUGGGCUGGACGACGCCGGCCGGGCUGGCGUGCACGAUGUGCACAAACCGUUCCGCCUGCAGAUUGCAGAAAGCCCUGACGCCAGCUGCGCAUCCUGACGGAUGACACGUUGGGGGCUGUCACUCAGCUGCUGACUCGGGACCACCGUGCUGUCCCCUGCCGCAGUUACCGCCGCAGCCUGGCUGGCAUUCAACUUAUGUUGAAAAUUAUAUCAAUAUGACGCGUUCGUACUGUGCCCCCAAACCGGUUUACAGGGGCAACAGGCAAUAGCCCUGCGCACAAACUCCUGCUUCUCACCAGAGCUUUCGCCGUUAUGCACGGCCACGGGAACAAUGGUCCCGGCCAACCACAUCUAUGAACCGUGUCCGUUAGCCUCUCCUGAGGCUUGUAACCGGAACGCGGCUCCGCUGAUUGCAGUCCCAGGAUGACGCUAACCUAAGCAAACAGUCAAUGCGCAUGAUCAUUUACACACACGAGUGCUCUUAUGUACUGCCCAUAUUAAACACAGUCGAGUUGUGGAUCAGUUGCACGAUUCACCGCGCCAGCCCUCGCGGCGGUGCUUCACGCAAUCCGCAUUCAGCUGGUGGCGAGUCGCCAAGCCGCCCCCAACAAAACCCGCACCGCACCAAGUGCCAUGCCGUUUAGACACACGCGCACAACACUAAUCCUGCGAGGCAGUGAUCUCAUCUGUCACUUUGUCAACUACCCAAUCAAGCCAUUUUUCCGAACCCAAUUCAAAACACGCGCCCACGGGCGAAGCUGUGCGCCGUGGCUGUAGCGGCUGCUGCCUCUGCUGCCAACGCCUCACAAAAUCCACCCGUGGCCGUCUGCCACAUAAGCUCCAGCGGUCACCAGCUAUGCUCCGUGCCAGCUCGCGAUAUUGCCAGGCCGUGUGGCCGCAGCAGCUGUUUGCACAGCUGCCGCGAAGCAAGUCCGCUGCCACAAGAACUCAAACAGGGUGGGUCAGCCGCGCGGCUUCCAAGCGGCUUCCACCUUGUGUGUAUGGACACGCGACGCCUCGGCUGCUGCGGGCUGUGCCAUUUACGGCAGGCUCGCCUGGUACAGCGGGCAGCUGCGGGCAAGACACGGGAGGGGUGAGGAAUGGCGGUCAGAUACGUGACAACGUCGAGGCAGAUGUCCGCGGGGAAGUCCGUGGGCGAAGCCUAUUGAUUUAGAUCCCGCAAGACAACCCACAUUGGCAAGUACGUUGUUGCGAGCGUGUCAAUGCAAACCCAACUCACCAGUUCUUGCUGUCGUCGAACAAGUUGCCGUAGCACGAGCCGCCGGGCGCGGGCAGGCAGAAGUCCGACAGGGGGGUGUCGUUCUUCAGCUCCAGGCAGAUAGUACCGCCAUUCGCCUGGUCCUUGCUCCAGUUCAGGGGGGUAGCCUUGACGGUCUGCUCGUCCACAGCGCCCCAGGUGGCGGACAGCCACUUGCCGGUGCCGGUCUUGGGCUGCACGUACACGCCGGUGAUGGCGCGGCGCUUCUUGUCGUCGGCGUAGAACUCGGCCUUGAGCAGGCUGGUGCUCCGGCCGCAGGGGCUGGUGGCGCUGUUGGGGGUCACAAGGGUGAUGCUGAAGCAGUAAGAGGUGGUGUCCUUGGUGCGGCCGGCCAUAGUGGAAAUGACGGGCGUGAAGGCGAAGGGGGUGGCGCCGGGCGUGGUGACGCAAGCGCACUUGGGGAAGUCCACAGGCUCGGGGGCGCAGG